rnacentral:rRNA from 1 species
UCGCCUGUUUAUCAAAAACAUGUCCUUUAGUUUUUAUUUAAGGUCUAACCUGCCCUAUGAUUUUUAAAUGGCCGCAGUAUUCUGACUGUGCGAAGGUAGCAUAAUGAUUUGUCUUUUAAUUAAAGGCUUGGAUGAAAGGUUGGACGAAGGGCUAACUUUCUUUAUCUUAUUAUAAUGAAUUUUAUUUUCUUGUGAAAAAGCAGGAAUUUUUUUAAGGGACGAUAAGACCCUAUAAAACUUUACUUUUUGGUUAAUUGUGGAUAGUUUAGGUUUUAUUUUUAUUUUUUUCUAAAAAGUUUUGUUGGGGA